GGCUUUGACUAAUCCCAUAGAAAUAAUUCUUGGACUGGGAACAAGAGAACAAGCAGAUCACAGUGUGGGUUAAAACAGAGGUGGGUGCACCUGGCCAUGGCCAGGGGAAGGAUUGGAGUGCUACCUAACAUGGGGCAUCCUGGGGAGGCUCAGAUUUUAAAACCUCCAAGCUUGUCCAGAAGCUUCAUAUACAUGUAUCCUUGCAUGCAUACAUGCAGGCAGGCACAAACACAUGUACACAUACACACGUGUGUUUAAAUAACAGGCUGAGGCCUUUCUGUUCCACCUCACAAAGCCCUGGGAGGGACGAAGGUGGGGUCAGGAUGAUCACCUGCUUUCCUGGGUUGAAGAGGCCCAGGGAGGGAGGCCAGGGGCUGGAGACCCUACUCCUCCCUACCCAGCCCAAAUAAAAUCUAACUACAAAAGUCUGGACAAUGUACUGCUGCUGCUGCUGCUAAGUUGCUUCAGUCAUGUCCAACUCUGUGUGACCCCAGAGAUGGCAGCUCACCAGGCUCCCCCGUCCCUGGGAUUCUCCAGGCAAGAACACUGGAGUGGGUUGCCAUGUCCUUCUCCAAUGCAUGAAAGUGAAAAGUGAAAGUGAAGUCGCUCAGCCAUGUCCGACUCUUUGCGACCCCAUGGACUGCAGCCUACCAGGCUCCUCUGUCCAUGAGAUUUUCCAGGCAAGAGUACUGGAGUGGGGUACCAUUGCCUUCUCCAGGACAAUGUACUAGAAGAGCAUUAUCCACUGAGUGGGAAAGGCUUCUGAGCUCUGGAGAGAUGCGGAGCUGGAAGGAGGAAGGGUGGGUGGGAAGUGGUCUCUGAAGAGGAGAUCAUGCUUCCUUAAGACCUUGGAAAACACAAGGGACAAGCUAGAAGGAUGAUCUGCAGUGGAGGAGGGUAGGAGGGGACCCCACUUUGGCCACCUAGCUGAACCCUUGUGUAUGGAUUCUCAGCUUCAAUCUGCCCAGCAGCCAACCAGAGUCUCAGGAUUCCUGUGGCCAGAGAAGGACCUUUGGAAAAACUUGGGCAGCCCAUGAUGAUGAGGGCAGAAUGCAGCCAAGCUGACUGGCUCCCACCUCCCCAAGCUGAAUGUUUCUGCUGUGCUAAGAUCAGACAGGGUGCUGAGCAUGCCCUGCUCUUCCUAGAGCUCUGGGGAGUGGGAGUAUAAAUAAGAAGUGGAGAGGCUGCAGAAGUCAAGAUGGAGUUGAAAUUGAGUGUUGACACAGGUGGAGCCCAAGUCCUAUCUGAUCUGCAAAUCCCACUCCUACAGAGUCACCCCGGCCUGUGCAGCCUAGGAAUUGCCCAAAGCCUGCCCAGAGCUCAGGCCUGUGGGAAAAAUCAAGAAAGCUUUAUAUAGGAAGUGGACUGGUAGGACCUUAGGUAGGUGAGGAGGAGGAGCCCUGAGACUCUCCCCAACCCUGGAAUGAGGUGGGGGAGUUGGAGCUGGGCCCAUGCUGAUCUUCUCUACCCCUGAUCUCUGCUGAUUCCUGGCUGCAGGGUGUGUAUGUGUGUAGCUGGGAACAGGUCAGGUUUAAUUAUUAAUCAUCUGACCAGACUAAUCAGCCUAGAGCAACGUCUCUCUCUUCCGGGGCUGUGAAAUCCCCACUCACUAGCCCAAGCCCCCAGCACCUCCCAGACGCUAGGAGAGAAGAAGAGUGUGAGGAGUUUCCCUGCAGCCCCUGGGUCUUCAGGAGGCCUUGAUUAGGUGUGGGCAGCAGGCAGGCAGGUGUGGUUUCCACGAUGCAGGGUCAUAAACUGAGCUUUGUUCCCAGCUCCGCCCGGGAAGGUCCCUGAGAGAUGGGUGGGCCUGGCGAGGAAGAGCUAAGCAGGGGAGCUUGCUUCCUCUUUUUGCCUUGGCUCCCAGGACGCUCCCAGUCACAUUUCAUACUAAUUCACCACCACUGCCUCGGCCCUUCCUACUCACCUACUUGCCGCCUGCAGGUUUCCUCAAUCCUCACUUCAAAAGUUUCCGUUGGCUUAAUCUGGUCGCACAUGGCCUGUGUUGUAUAUUAACUCAAUUCCUUGUUGUUAAGAGGUGGCAGGUAAAUAAACAAUGAAGUUUCACUCAGGAAAGAGGGUUAAAAGUGCAAAGUCUGGCCUGCAUCUAGGGGCCAUGGGAAAUCUCCUUUUGAAGACACCCUUAUACCCCUAAAUUCCCCAAGAACACAAAACUAGGUGCUCUUCUCCCCUCCCCAGAGGAGCAGGAACAACCCCUUGGCUCACCCCUAGAUCCAGCUCCUAGGGUGAAACCUCCUGAGUGAGGGGACGAAGAAACUGUGUUGCUUUGGCACCUUCAGCCUUCCUACCCUUCAGUUUUCCUACCCUGCGGUGGGUGGAGACCUUUGUUUAGCUACAGUCUAAGGAGGGAAGUGUUGAGGAGUUGCUGGGGAAGUCCCCGGUUGACAGCUAGGGCAGCGUUUUUCCAAGCGCGAGGAACAAACUCCACCUGCACUGAAUCACUCAUGAGGCUCCACUAAGAUGCAAGUGCCUUCCCGUGACCCAGUGAGGCAGAAUCUCCACCGGGGGU
ensembl:lncRNA